UCCGCCUUUAAUUGUUAAUUGCAUGCUAUUGAUGUUGCUUAAAUGAACAUAUUUUUCACAAAUCUUCCUUCAAAAUUUGCAUCCACAUUUACCUUGAUAAAAAAACUGAGAAACACCCGAACUCGAGUGAAUUGAACUCAAUUUAAACUCGAGCCCGAGAAAACCUAAACCCAUUGUGAAGGUUGGUUUAGAGACUGGGUUGGCUUUCCAACCUAAGUUGCACCCCUAAAAAUAGUAAAAUACCAUGUUGUCCAUGGCAAAACUGAAACCCCAAAACUAAAUCACGAAAGUCAAACAAACAACAAAAACUUCUGGGGUCAAAUUUGUAAUGAUCAGUUGCAUUAUUUUGGGGUGGAAACGAGAACCCGUCAGACCCCUAACGCACGCACAGCUCAAGGCCAUUUGUUCCUUGCACUCUUGAGGCAGCCGCCGCCACCACCUCCACUGUGACGGUUGCCAAAGCAACCAAUUUAGCUUUGUGGGAAUUUGGAUUUUGUUUUGCUGUUGUGGUCGUUUCGUCGACCAAGAUGCAGAACGAAGAGGGCGUUAUCAGUGAGCUUUACAUUCCUAGGAAAUGGCAUUCAAUCCGGUCUCGGCGACCAACAGGUUGAUUACAUCAAAGGACCACGCCUCCGUUCAGAUUAACGUUGGUCAUCUGGACGAACAUGACAUCUACACUCGCCAGUUCUCCACUUUCGCUCUAUGUGGUUACGUCCGCGCUCAGUUAAUUCAGACAGUUGCAAUUACGAAGAUUGUUAGUUCCGCUUCUGAGUUUUUGUCUCGCUUUUUAUUCUUCGGGGAGAUGCUGACGGCGGUUUAGACCGACUGUGGCAGAAGAAGAAAAUUGAAGCCAAACAAAACUAGAAAGAGAUUAACCGUGUUUCUUCUAUGGAUUUGGGUUCUUGAGAAUGGAAGUGUUGAAUUUAGUGAACUGAUCCAUUCUGUUGGGUAUUCUUUGCCUUUAGUUGGCAACUGUUUUGAACUAUUCCCAUUGCUAAUAUUAAUGCAUGAUGAUUUAAAAAUUUGUGUUUUAAAUGAUGCAUGAACGUCGGACCAAAAAAGGUCUGUGGAUGUAGAGGGACUCCCGUGUAACAUGUUGUACAUAUCACUCUCAAUUUCUCUCGUCGCAUGAUCAUUGUCUGACUAUUCAUGCAGUUAAAGAGAUAUAAAGAGAGACGAGUUUACUAUCUAGGACAUUAGAUAGGUUAAGUUUUUGUCCCGUGAAUGACCACA